rnacentral:rRNA from 1 species
CGCGGUAACACCGGCCGCACAAGUGGUGACCGCUUUUAUUGGGCCUAAAGCGUCCGUAGCCGGUUUAGUAAGUCUUUGGGUAAAUCCUUCGGCUUAACCGAAGGACUUCCGAAGAUACUGCUAAACUUGGAGUUGAGAGAAGUCAGAGGUACCUCUGGGGUAGGGGUGAAAUCCUAUAAUCCUGGGGGGACCACCAGUGGCGAAGGCGUCUGACUAGCGUAAGCUCGACGGUGAGGGACGAAAGCCUGGGUCGCGAACGGGAUUAGAUACCCCGGUAGUCCUGGCUGUAAACGCUGCGCGCUAGGUGUUGCACGCUCUACGAGGGCUUGCAGUGCCGAAGAGAAGUUGAUAAGCGUGCCGCCUGGGAAGUAUUACCGCAAGGUAGAAACUUAAAGGAAUUGGCGGGGGAGCACCACAAGGGGUGGAGUCUGCGGUUCAAUUGGAUUCAACGCCGGGAAACUCACCGGGGGCGACGGCAGUAUGAUAGCCAAGCUGAUGACUUUGCUUGACGAGCCGAGAGGAGGUGCAUGGCCGUCGUCAGCUCGUACUGUGAAGCGUCCUGUUAAGUCAGGCAACGAGCGAGACCCGUGCCCUUAGUUGCUAGUUUAUCCCUUCGGGAUAAGUGCACUCUAGGGGGACCGCCAGUGAUAAACUGGAGGAAGGUGCGGGCGACGGUAGGUCAGUAUGCCCCGAAUCCCCCGGGCUACACGCGGACUACAAUGGAUGGUACAAUGGGCUUCGACUCCGAGAGGAGAAGGAAAUCUCUAAAGCCGUCCCUAGUUCAGAUUGUGGGUUGCAACCCACCCACAUGAAGCCGGAAUCCCUAGUAAUCGCGUGUCAUCAUCGCGCGGUGAAUAUGUCCCUGCUCCUUGCACACACCGCCCGUCAAGCCACCCGAGUGGAGCCUGGUCGAGGCUAUAUCCUUUGGGCAUAUUCG